GCUCACGGCAAUGCCAGAUCCUUAACCCACUGAGUGAGGCCAGGGAUUGAACCCUCAGCCUCAUGGUUCCUAGUUGGAUUCAUUUCUGUUGGGCCAUGAUGGGAACUCCUUGUUCUAGUCCUAUUUUACAGCACAGAGGGCAGGAUUAUAUAAAAUUAUUUCUCUUCUUCACAGGAAGAAAGUGAUGUUCAUGCCAUAAGUGACUCACCAGAGCCACUUGGCAGGUGGAACCAGGCAGUGCUCUUGAGGAAUUCUUCCAAGGACAGCGCGGAGAAACAGAAAAGGAGAGAGCCUUGUAUGUGGUAUCAACCAUUUGAAGAUCAGAUGAAGAAAGAGGUUUACACUUGCAGAAACAGGCAGAGAGAUCAAAGGUGAAGAUGGCAUCUACUCCACUCUCAAGAAAAAAAACUGGUCAUGGAGAUGACAUAAAAAACAAGUAAGUCUAGUUCCAUUUAUUGCAUUAGGUAUUAUAGAAACCCAGUUCUUGUGGGCUGUAUUUGGGAAGAAGGCCAUCAUAGAGAGCACAGAGAAGAGGUGACAGUAGCACCAGCCUUGAAGGAUGAGCAGAGCCCCACAACAAAGGGCAGCUUUGUGAAGAAGGGCCAUAACACAGGGGUUGAAAAUUGGGAUAUCCAAAUAGACCUAAGCAGUCAGCUUGGUUUAGGGAAUUUCAUCCCUAGAAAUAUGCUUAGAGAGCUGAACAUAGAUUGUUGGACUAGCAGAGUCCUUAUCGGGCUCAUGCAUCCCAGCCUCUAGGUAAAUAGUGGGGAAACUAGUUAGGAUCUGAGGGGUGGGUACUAAAAACUCACUAUGAGGUCUUGGGCCUGUGCCAGGCUUUAAAGCCCUUCUCCAUUGCCAGUGCCUCCCCCAUAAAGUCACUUGCUUAAGCCUGUCUCCACACCUUCAACCCUUAUCAUUAUUUAUGCAUGAAGAAAGGAAAUAUUUAAAAUAAAUCCUAAUGUUCAUGGACUGGCAAUACUGUUGGCAAAAUGAGACUGAGGAAAACUUCCUUUCUUAAGCCACGGACACUGCAUACAGAAUGCAAGGCUGAUUUCAACUCACUGGGGUUAAUUCAAGACAUGCUUAUUGAAAUUCAUACUAUGUGCAAGACCCAGAGGAAAUCGUAUCCUCCCUUUCAAGACCAGCCUGGAAGUGGUCGUGACUUCAUGUCCUUGUUGGAACAGCCUGGACCAUUAUGGGGAUGUCUUAGGUUGCUGUCCAACCCAGAAGGAUGCUUAGCACAAUAUUUUUGAAUUCCUAUAAAGCAAAUGUGGGUUAAAUAAUGACAGACUUUUCUGAGUGCUAGGCUGAUCUCCGAGGUGAUCCAUCCAUUCUGGCUGCUAUGUAAGAUAUUGAGUGGCACAGAGCAUUUCAGACAGAGCAGUGGUGGAUCUCUCUUCCACGUCAGGGGCACUGUCAAACAGUGGUCCCUGGAUGUCCCUCAAGUGAAGCCCCUACACCAUGAUGGCUGAACUUUAGAGGAUUAGUAGCCUUGGGUCUUUUAAAGGUCUGAAUUCUCUUCUAUUUGUUUAUUUACCAUUUUAGGAGCUCAGCUAUCUGUUCUCUGAACUGAUCCUUGGUGCUAUUCUGUUUUCCUUAAGGAUGUUGCUUAGAAUGCUAAUAAUUUAACCUUGAAGCCAAAGACCACUAGGGACACACCUAGAUAAAAACAAAAAGUUGGGUUUAUUGAGCUGGCUGGAGUAAGGGAGAAGGCACCACAGAGGACCAGUGGGCAGGCCCUUUUACAGGAUUCAGGUUUAUGCUGGAUGAUUCUAGGGAUGGAGCAGGAGAGCAGGGGCUAGUUCUGGUCAGUGAUGUCAAGAAGUAGGGACAGUUAGGUGA